GUGGGGAAUUUUGGACAAUGGGGGCAACCCUGAUCCAGCCAUGCCGCGUGCGGGAAGAAGGCCUUCGGGUUGUAAACCGCUUUUGUCAGGGAAGAAAUCCUUUGGGUUAAUACCUCGGAGGGAUGACGGUACCUGAAGAAUAAGCACCGGCUAACUACGUGCCAGCAGCCGCGGUAAUACGUAGGGUGCGAGCGUUAAUCGGAAUUACUGGGCGUAAAGCGUGCGCAGGCGGUUUUGUAAGAUCGAUGUGAAAUACCCGGGCUCAACCUGGGAACUGCAUUGGUGACUGCAAGGCUGGAGUGCGGCAGAGGGGGAUGGAAUUCCGCGUGUAGCAGUGAAAUGCGUAGAUAUGCGGAGGAACACCGAUGGCGAAGGCAAUCCCCUGGGCCUGCACUGACGCUCAUGCACGAAAGCGUGGGGAGCAAACAGGAUUAGAAACCCUGGUAGUCC
rnacentral:rRNA from 1 species